GUAGCUGCAUCUCCAAGAAAUACUGAAGAUUUGUAUGGCAUAGGAAUCACUUCAUUAUGAGCAGAAGCAAGUCUUGAAUAUGAGUAAUGGAGUACAGAUAGGCAACAGGACCUUCAGAAAAAGUACACAAGAGCAGAAGCUUAGGCAAACACAUUUGUACAGUGAACAGAUUCAUGGCACCUACAAAAUGUCAGAAAAAGCGACUAACAAGAUGGUAAUGCAACACCUACAGACAGCCCAUCUGCUCACCUAGGUAUCCAGGCCAAAAAGAACUUGGGCAACAUCAAAAACAAGAAUUAAGUCUUCCCAUAAACUUGCCUGAUCAUGAAAACUGUGAUAAGAAAAUGAAGACAAAGUUGGGAUUUUCUGUUUUCUUUUUGUAUUUUCCCAUUGGGAAGCAAAGACAGAAAAUGACUGACACUGUUACAGGGAAUAACUCUUGAAAUACUGGAAUGGUAAUAAGUGCCUGAUGAGAAUAAAGACCUGAGGCAG
rnacentral:lncRNA from 1 species